UUUCAUACUGCUGUUGAUGAUGUGAAUUUUGGAAAUAUUCUCCCCUAUUGGGUCUUUCUCCAUGACAGAUGAUGUCCUUUGGCUUCGGUUUUUUGCCUAAGAACUGUAAGUGGUGCUUGCUAGCCCUACUAAGAAUCCUGCCAUUGUUGCAAAUUUCAGAAAAAAGUGAUUAUCCAGGGACUACAGAUGGGGUCAGCAGCAUGCCCAGUCACCUGCAUUGCCUAAUGAAUGGCUGACUGCCUCAGCAUCCCCUGGGCAGAGGCUGGAGUGCAGUGGUGCACACGCCUCACACUGUGACACAGCGGGAGAGCCCAGAGCGACAGCUGUUGGAAUGACUGCACUCUUCCUGCUCAAGUCUGACCUUUCCAAGGUAAUGGUGCUCAGAAAAAGAAGCCAAUCAGGAGAUCUGUUUUCUGUGCCCUUUUAACACUUCUAACUCAGGCACCCAAACCAGCCUGUAGCAGAAAGAGCAUCAAAGCCAUCCUCUGGACUCUACACAAGCCUUUGUCCUAUGUCUGGAGACUUCUUGGAAGCUGGAGCACACAAAUAGCUACAGCAAACUUGAGGAAUGGGCAUGAAUAGACUGGCUUCGGGGAACCUGCCAGCUUGGCCGUGUGGCCAAGGUAAUAGGCAAGCCAAGGCAGAGCUAGAGCUCAGAGCUGGAGGGGAAAUUAAAGCAGCAAAUGUAGAAACAUUAAGCCUGAAGAGGCGACGACGUUGAAUUCUAAAAUGCAGGCCAAAGCUCAGACUGCAAGCUGUCUGGCUGCUCCGGGUGUGCCCAGAAGUCAAAGUCCAGCAGGGGCAAAGGUGGAGGUGUGGUCCUGCACGUGGGGUGUUGGGGGGAUGUGGAAGAGGAGGUGCUUUAAGAUCCAGAGAUUCCAGCUGCCCUGGUGCACCCUUGGAAGAAUAAAAGGCUAGGAACUGGACAAGUCAGGCUCGAGUCCAAGCUGCCUGAGGAAUCGGGGAAAGAAUGGAGCUCAGAGUGGGAGGUCAGGGCAGUAUUUAAAAAUCCAGGAUAGCAGCAAAGCUGGCGGUGGCCCCUGACUCUGGUAAGGGCAGCCUGCAGCACCAUGCCAAGGGGGGCCUGACUGAUCAUGCCCUGCAUUUGCAAACAAGGAUUAGUAGGGUAUGAGUAGGAUUCUGCUGGUGCCUGGGAAGGCAGUGCCAUCUACAACUUUACAAAGUUUUAACAAAGGCCUGAAGGACACAACCUUCCCCAAAGUCCUGACGUCGCUGUUUGCUGGCAACAAAUAGAGUCAAAAGAAGAGAGGCACAGAAUGUGCCAGGGGUGUGCUGCGUACAGCCCCGAUGACCACAAGGCCUUCUUGGGUCAAGUUCUGCCAUCUCUGGUUAAGAUGGGCUCACCCUCUAGGACCCUGAUUGAGUCCUCGGACCACCAAGAGUGCCCCACCAAGAGCCUCCCUCUUCUGGUGACUCGUGCCUGCUUCCCGUGGAGAGCUCCAGAAGGGAGGAAACUGUGAGGAGGUGGAGAACGUGGCAGGGAUCCUAACUUUCUUACUGAAGGAAGUUCUUCACAAGUACCCAUCUGCCUUCAGGGAAGAAAACAUAACUCAUUUUGGUCUUUCAAAUUCAGUUCUCAAAACCAAAUCCUGUUGUCAGCAAUCUGUGUCCCAACGCCUUCUUCAGCAACAGCAUUUUCCCUGUGGAAUUAGUUUCCAAUGUUCUUUCUUAAAUAAACCACUGAAGAUUAAAAGGAAUCCAGAUACCCACCACAUUUUGUUUCCUUAAUGAGUAAUUAUCACAUUUCUUUGGCUACUUAAAUGCAUUCUCUGAGUCAGGUAAAGGAGAUCGUAAUAGUUAAUCAACAAGAAGUAAUUCUUGGGUACUUAACAAUAGUCUAAGCACUUAAUCAUACUUAAAAUUGACUAUUAAUGAACCUUAUAAACCAUUUUGCAAUUCUGAAAGUGAAUUUCUCUGCAGGCUUAGAGAUUACUAAGCCAUUUAGAUCUUACCAAACAAAUAUUAUUCAUGCUUUAAUUCCUGGGAAAAGAAAUUUAGAAAAUGAGGUUAAUGUUCAGUUGUCCUUUCCUGAGUUUAACAAUUAUAUAUUCCAUCUGGGAUGCUCUGAACUCAGGUUAAACAUUCUUCAAGUUAUUCCCACAUUUUUCAAGUUAUUCCCACGUUAGUGACCUACUUUAUUAGUAUUAUUACUAAAGAAAAGGGCUGGGUGCGGUGGCCCACAUCUGUAAUCCCAGCACUUUGGGAGGCUGAAGCAGGAGGAUCACUUGAGCUUGGGAGUUCAAGACCAGCCUGAGAGGGAGACUCCGUCUCUACAAAAAAAAAAAAAUUAGCCAGGUAUGGUGGCACGCGCUCAUGGGCCCAGCUACUCAAGGAGGCUGAGGUGGGAGGAUCACGUGAACCUGGGAGGCAGAGCCUGCAGUGAGCCCUGGUUGUGCCUCUGUACUCAAGCCUGAGAGACAGAGUGAGACCCUGUCUCCAAACAAUAAAGUAAAAUAAAUAAAUAAAUAAAUAAGAAUGCAAAUCAAAGACAUUAAGAAAUAGCUUUACUUUAAUGUAGGCAUUUAAGGUAAAAUAGGUCACAUUCUCUUUUUUAAAAAAAUUACUGACCCACAGAAAAACAAGUCAAAAAGCAGACUAUUUCAUAUUAGUGUCUUUUUUUUAAAGAGGAUUAAUAUAAAUUGCCUUCUCACCUGUUUUUAAAAUAAAGGACUGAAUGAUAGAACUUAGACAACAAAUCUAGUAGCAUGAUAAAAGCCUUUCUUUGAUAGCUAGAAAAGGUAAACAAAGAAUAAAACAGGGUGAAGAAGAAAGAGGACAGAUAGAAUGUGAAUAUUAUCUACCUUUUUCUCAAGAUAAAACUAAUAUUGCUUUCUAAAAAGAAGCAAUUCUUUAGAGCAGAGGUCAGCAAACUUUUUCUAUAAAGAGCCAGAUAUUAACUAUUUUAUAAUUUGCAAACCACAUAAGUCCUCUGUUUCAUAUGGGUUUUUUUCUUUUUUCUUUUUAAACAAUACUUUAAAAAUGCUGAAAAUAUUCUUAGCUUACAUCUACAAAAAAGCAGGCAGUGGGCUGAUUUGACUCACAGGUGGUAUAGCUUGCUAAUUCCUGCUUUAGAUUUUAAGAAUGAGGCAGAUGUUGCCAGAAUUUGCUCUAAUUUACUAUGAGGUUUGCAAAUAAAAGUGCUCUUGACAUGAAAACUUGCUAUUUUUAAUGGAAAGACAUGUACAGCCCUUUCUCAGGAAGUGGAGAUUAAUGCAUAAAAUUUUAUUUUCCUAACAUAAAGCAUGUUUUUUCAAAAAAUGGCUUCUCCAUCUUGUGGCCCUUUGAUUAUGAUAGCUCUGAAAGCUUUGAAAAGCUUGCAAAUACUCAACUUCAGGAAUAAAACCACCUAUGAGACCCUCACCUGAAGGCAGGAUCUUUCCUGCAGCCUUGAGUCUUCCUAAUCAGAACCAUUGUUUCGUAAACUGGACUCCGAAGACAACACUUAAAGUCACUCAAGUUCGCUACAAAAUUCUUGUUUUGUGUUUUCAUUUCUAAAGACAAUAAAAAUAAUUGAUAUGAUCAAGUUUGGGAUUAUCUAGAUGAUCUAGACAACUAUUGCGGUCAAAAUAGGCCUGAUCACAGGCAUUUUCAGUACCCAUGGAAUUCUAGAGCUUUGGAUACUUGUCUAGUCUGUUUGGGUCACUAUAACAAAAUGCCAUAAACUGGGUGCUUAUAAAGAACAGAAUUUUAUUUCCCACAGUUCUGCAGGCUGGGAAGUCCAAAAUCGAGGCAGAUUUGAUGUCCUCAAGUGAUGGAAGAAUCAAGAGGUCUCUCUGGGGGCUCUUUUAUAAGGGCACUAACCCCAUUCAUGAGAGCAGAGCCUAAUUACCUCCCUAAGGCCCCAACUCCUAAUACUAUCACCUUGAGGGUGAGGAGGGAAACAUAAAAAUACCAUAGUAAUACUAAUAGGUACAUCAGUGAAGAACAAUAUCACAGUAUCGUGUAGACAGGAAGAUUUUGCUGCAAUUUGGUUGUUAAAACAAAAAGUCGUGGGUGGAUACAAUCAUCAGACAGUUCAGAAGUGGCAUCCACGUACUCACCCAAAGGAGGUGCACUGCAGUUGUGGGAGCCCUGUGCUUGCUACUAGCAGUGACUUAAUUUCUGCAAAGCUAUGUGAUCACAUUCAACUAUGCUAGUUAACUUUAAUUUUACUGAAUUUGGUUUAGGUAGGUAGUUUGUAAAUUUAACUUUCUACUUGUAUAAGAAGUAUAAUUAUAAAAACAGCAGGUCAGCACGACAGGUCUGAGAGAAUCUGUAUUCUGUAAAAAAAUACCUAUUUCUUACUUGGCGAAAAACAUUAGUCAAUGUUGCACCAAAAACCCCCCAAAAGCUAUAGAUCAGAUAUUGACUAAAAUGAAUAUACAAAAAUCUUGACUGGAAAUAUUUUAAGUCAAAACUAACAGCCUAUUUCAGGUAUUGACAGAACAAAUUCCAGAAGCAGAAUAACUGAAACAAUCAUGUUGAAAUUAAUUAUAAUGGGCAGAAUUUGACUGAAACUUGUUACCACCUUCACCAAAAUAUAGCCUUUCUUAUACUAUCAAAUGUAUUGAAUAAAUUGUGAGCACUUUCUUGUACAACUUCUAAAAAUUUAGCUUUGCUUUUGUUAUCUGAAUAUUGUACAGGAAUAUGAGCAUGCAAAUAAGAUCUUUGUUUAGUUUCAAGUCUUUUUAUAACUAAAUCUGCUGGCAUUAGAC
rnacentral:lncRNA from 1 species